rnacentral:rRNA from 1 species
GAUGAACGCUGGCGGCGUGCCUAAUACAUGCAAGUCGAGCGAACAGACGAGGAGCUUGCUCCUCUGACGUUAGCGGCGGACGGGUGAGUAACACGUGGAUAACCUACCUAUAAGACUGGGAUAACUUCGGGAAACCGGAGCUAAUACCGGAUAAUAUAUUGAACCGCAUGGUUCAAUAGUGAAAGACGGUUUUGCUGUCACCUAUAGAUGGAUCCGCGCCGCAUUAGCUAGUUGGUAAGGUAACGGCUUACCAAGGCAACGAUGCGUAGCCGACCUGAGAGGGUGGUCGGCCACACUGGAACUGAGACACGGUCCAGACUCCUACGGGAGGCAGCAGUAGGGAAUCUUCCGCAAUGGGCGAAAGCCUGACGGAGCAACGCCGCGUGAGUGAUGAAGGUCUUCGGAUCGUAAAACUCUGUUAUUAGGGAAGAACAAAUGUGUAAGUAACUAUGCACGUCUUGACGGUACCUAAUCAGAAAGCCACGGCUAACUACGUG